UUUUGAGGGCCUAUCGUCAAAUCCCCGCUGCGCAUGCGCACUGUUCAUUGUUGACAGGGAAGAUAAUGGAUUCUUGUACCUUACCUGCUGCUUACAGCUUGUCUUCCUCACCCACACAGCUUCGGCCAGGACUCUUUAUAUUUAAAUGUAAAAAAUGUAUUAUACAGACGAGAAACACUUAUCACUUCCUCUGAAAGCGUGAUUUGUGAUGGAAGCUGGUGGGGGUGGAGCAAGUGCCCAGGUAAUCAGAAGAGCAGCGAGAGAGAUAUAUAUGCAUGACAGCAUCAUGGAAUCUACAGUAUUACCCUUAAUUUACAUCGUUGGAAUUCGCAUUUUCCAUUUUUUUACCUGUGGCCUCAUCAUUUCUAAGGGGUCUUUUCAUGUAUUUUACACUAGUUAAUCAGCCUUGUCCUUUGCCAAACAUUUAAAAAAAAAAAAUACCUGUUAUAUGCAUCGUUCAUACACCUUUUUGUAAAGUUUCAAUGUGGAUGCAACCGCGUGUUAUGACACUAUGAUAGGUGCUGUGCUGAAGGAGCAGAAGGGACCGGGGCACAAGGAAAGUGGCUACUGGAUUGAAGAAGGAGGGGGCGAGAGAGGGAAAGAAGGCUGUAAGAAUCUGUUUGGGAAGAAUGAAGCACAUGCUUAAGUUGGAGAAAGACCCUGGGGCAUAAGAUUGUGAGUAGAAACAGAAGUGACAGGUGUUCUAGAGAAGGAAAGUUUGGAGGGAUAGAGUUAGAGGCUGUUUGGAGAGGGAGGCUAAAGGGACGAGGAACACGACCGUGACAAACAAAGAGAGGUGGCUGCUGUGUAACAAGCAGUCUGGGUAGGAAGAGAAAGGGACUGGGCCACAAGACUGGAGUACAUAGGAAUGGGGGAAGUCACAAAGAGUGUUGAUAUAGCUUUAGUGUUUUGGUUGAAACAUGAUAACUUAUAAAUUAAUUUUUUUAUAUUUAAAAACUCCUACGUUUUUCUGCAUUCUUAACAUGUAAUGUUUUACUGUUUUUUUUUUUACAUGGUCCCUUGAAAAAAGUUAAUUUGUGUCUACUGUAUAUUGUUGGACCUCUUUUGCUUGCGUAUUUGUAAUGUUUUUUUUUUUGUUUAUUAAAAUUGAUUCCUUACCGUGUGCUAUUCUGAAAA